GACUCGUGGCAGAUAGCUCAGUAACACGUGGCCAAGCUACCCUAUGGAGAGGGAUAACCCCGGGAAACUGGGGCUAAUACCUCAUAACGCUCCCCCACUGGAAUGUGGGGAGCCGGAAAUGCUCCGGCGCCAUAGGAUGCGGCUGCGGUCGAUUAGGUAGACGGUGGGGUAACGGCCCACCGUGCCGAUAAUCGGUACGGGUCGUGAGAGCGAGUGCCCGGAGAUGGAUUCUGAGACAAGAAUCCAGGCCCUACGGGGCGCAGCAGGCGCGAAAACUUUACACUGCACGCAAGUGCGAUAAGGGGACUCCGAGUGUGUGGGCAUAGAGCCCACACUUUUGUGUACCGUAAGGUGGUACACGAAUAAGAGCUGGGCAAGACCGGUGCCAGCCGCCGCGGUAAUACCGGCAGCUCAAGUGAUGGCCGAUUUUAUUGGGCCUAAAGCGUCCGUAGCCGGCCGGGCAAGUCCGUUGGGAAAUCUGUUCGCUUAACGAACAGGCGUCCAGCGGAAACUGCUCGGCUUGGGACCGAAAGACCUGAGGGGUACGUCCGGGGUAGGAGUGAAAUCCUGUAAUCCUGGACGGACCGCCGAUGGGGAAACCACCUCAGGAGGACGGAUCCGACGGUGAGGGACGAAAGCUAGGGUCUCGAACCGGAUUAGAUACCCGGGUAGUCCUAGCUGU
rnacentral:rRNA from 1 species